UUAAAAGUAUUAGCUGGAUCUGUCUAUAUGACUGGUUUGACUUGGCAUAAUAAGUAUUUUGCUGAGGACAUCUUCGGAUGGCCAGGACCUAGACUAUUGUCUGCUAACUAAACCAUCACUUUAAGUGCAUCUUUGGAUGUUACUAAUUGUGUAACUUUGACAUCUGGCCUCAAAUCAGGUAGGACUACCCGCUGAACUUAAGCAUAUCAAUAAGCGGAGGAAAAGAAACUAACAAGGAUUCCCCUAGUAACGGCGAGUGAAGCGGGAAGAGCUCAAAUUUGAAAUCUGGUGGCCUCAGGUCAUCCGAGUUGUAAUCUAUAGAAGUGUUUUCCGUGCUGGCUCAUGUACAAGUCCCUUGGAACAGGGCGUCAUAGAGGGUGAGAAUCCCGUCCUUGACAUGAACUACCAGUGCUCUGUGAUACAUUUUCAACGAGUCGAGUUGUUUGGGAAUGCAGCUCAAAAUGGGUGGUAAAUUCCAUCUAAAGCUAAAUAUUGGCGAGAGACCGAUAGCGAACAAGUACCGUGAGGGAAAGAUGAAAAGCACUUUGGAAAGAGAGUUAAACAGUAUGUGAAAUUGUUGAAAGGGAAACGAUUGAAGUCAGUCGUGCUCUUUGGAUUCAGCCGGUUCUGCCGGUGUACUUCCUUUGAGUGGGGUCAACAUCAGUUUUGAUCGCUGGAUAAAGGCAGGAGGAACGUAGUACCCUCGGGUAAACUUAUAGCCUCUUGUCACAUACAGUGGUUGGGACUGAGGAACGCAGCACGCCUUUAUGGCCGGGAU
rnacentral:rRNA from 1 species